rnacentral:rRNA from 1 species
GACGAACGCUGGCGGCGUGCUUAACACAUGCAAGUCGAACGUGAUUUUUAAGGAAAGCCCUUCGGGGUGGGAAUUAAAAUGAAAGUGGCGAACGGGUGAGUAACACGUGAGCAACCUACCUUACACAGGGGGAUAGCCGUUGGAAACGACGAUUAAUACCGCAUGAGACCACAGAAUCGCAUGAUAUAGGGGUCAAAGAUUUAUCGGUGUAAGAAGGGCUCGCGUCUGAUUAGCUAGUUGGAAGGGUAAAGGCCUACCAAGGCGACGAUCAGUAGCCGGUCUGAGAGGAUGAACGGCCACAUUGGAACUGAGACACGGUCCAAACUCCUACGGGAGGCAGCAGUGGGGAAUAUUGCACAAUGGGGGGAACCCUGAUGCAGCGACGCCGCGUGAGCGAAGAAGGUUUUCGAAUCGUAAAGCUCUGUCCUANGAGAAGAUAA